rnacentral:lncRNA from 1 species
UAAAAUUGUUUAUCAGGUCAAGAUCUAUCUGUCCUGAAAUUUUCAGAUGAAUCGAACAACCUGUUGUUUGAUUGCUGCCCCUGAAUCGGUAAUUUUAAAGAAAUUUUGCUGUUUUUGGUUAUUAUAUUGAAUAUUAUUAUAGAUAGAGAUAAACUGUAAACAGCAAAAAUGUUCAGCAAAGUACGAUUUACAAAUAAGUCAACAUGACCGAAAUAGUCAAUUGACCCCCUAAGGAGUUAUUGUCCUUUAUAGCCAAUUUUUAACAAUUUUCAUAAAAUUUGUAAAUUUUUAUUAACAUUUUCCACUGAAACUACUGGGCCAAGUUCAUUAUAGAUAGAGAUAAUUGUAAGCAGCAAGACUGUUUAGUAAAGUAAGAUGUACAAACACAUCACCAUCACCAAAACACAAUUUUGUCAUGAAUCCAGCUGUUUCCUUUGUUUAAUAUUCACAUAGACCAAGGUGAGCAACACAGGCUCUAAACAGUUUUUAAGUCCAUAAAUUGUUAAAAACAAAGUAUACACGAUAAUGCAUAUGACAUGUUCAUUUGAUUAAUUGUACAUCUUUUUAUAUAAGCUUAGUUAAGCUUCAGCACGUCAAUCUAUUUAUUUUGGACCUCAGUUGCAGGAUGAUAAUCAACUAUAACAAGAUAGAAAAACUUAAAACCAAUACACACUAAAUAGAUUACUAUGCAUAUCAGUGCAAAGAAAGAUAACUCUGUCGUGACUAUGAAACAAGUACAUUAACACUAUGUAACAUUCUCUCUAAAAGUAGUAUAACAUUGUAAUAAAUGCC